GCGCAGCAGUCGAGAAAACUCCGCAAUACACGAAAGUGUGACGGGGCCAUCCCGAGUGCCGUCCGCUGAGGACGGCUUUUCCCCAGUGUACACAGCUGGGGGAAUAAGGAGAGGGCAAGCCUGGUGUCAGCCGCCGCGGUAACACCAGCUCUCCGAGUGGUGGGGACGCUUAUUGGGCCUAAAGCAUCCGUAGCCGGCUGGGCAAGUUCUCCGUUAAAUCCAACGAUUCAAUCGUUGGGCUGCGGGGGAUACUGUCCAGCUUGGGGGCGGGAGAGGCCGACGGUAUUCCCGGGGUAGGGGUGAAAUCCUAUAAUCCCGGGAGGACCACCAGUGGCGAAGGCUGUCGGCUAGAACGCGCCCGACGGUGAGGGAUGAAAGCUGGGGGAGCGAACCGGAUUAGAUACCCCUGUAGU
rnacentral:rRNA from 1 species